rnacentral:rRNA from 1 species
CCUACGGGAGGCAGCAGUAGGGAAUCUUUCACAAUGGGCGAAAGCCUGAUGGAGCAACGCCGCGUGCAGGAUGAAGGCCUUCGGGUUGUAAACUGCUUUUAUAAGCGAGAAAUAUGAUGGUAACUUAUGAAUAAGGAUCGGCUAACUACGUGCCAGCAGCCGCGGUCAUACGUAGGAUCCGAGCAUUAUCCGGAGUGACUGGGUGUAAAGAGUUGCGUAGGUGGCAUAAUAAGUAGCUAGUGAAAUCUGGUGGCUCAACCAUUCAGACUAUUAGCUAAACUGUUAAUCUCGAGACCGUUAGGGGUAACUGGAAUUUCUAGUGUAGGAGUGAAAUCCGUAGAUAUUAGAAGGAACACCAAUAGCGUAGGCAGGUUGCUGGGACGGUUCUGACACUAAGGCACGAAAGCGUAGGGAGCAAACGGGAUUAGAUACCCCUGUAGUC